UGUCUCGUUGGUGACCAGCGGAGGGAUCAUUACAGAGUUGCAAAACUCCCUAAACCAUUGUGAACGUUACCUAAACCGUUGCUUCGGCGGGCGGCCCCGGGGUUUACCCCCCGGGCGCCCCUGGGCCCCACCGCGGGCGCCCGCCGGAGGUCACCAAACUCUUGAUAAUUUAUGGCCUCUCUGAGUCUUCUGUACUGAAUAAGUCAAAACUUUCAACAACGGAUCUCUUGGUUCUGGCAUCGAUGAAGAACGCAGCGAAAUGCGAUAAGUAAUGUGAAUUGCAGAAUUCAGUGAAUCAUCGAAUCUUUGAACGCACAUUGCGCCCGCCAGUAUUCUGGCGGGCAUGCCUGUUCGAGCGUCAUUUCAACCAUCAAGCCCCGGGCUUGUGUUGGGGACCUGCGGCUGCCGCAGGCCCUGAAAAGCAGUGGCGGGCUCGCUGUCACACCGAGCGUAGUAGCAUACAUCUCGCUCUGGGCGUGCUGCGGGUUCCGGCCGUUAAACCACCUUUUAACCCAAGGUUGACCUCGGAUCAGGUAGGAAGACCGACUGAACUUAAGCAUAUCAUAAAGGCG
rnacentral:rRNA from 1 species